CAUACCUAUUCGAAGGGAUAGGGUCGGUUCGGCCGGAUUUUACACAGGUGUUGCAUGGCUGUCGUCAGCUCGUGUCGUGAGAUGUUGGGUUAAGUCCCGCAACGAGCGCAACCCUCAUCCUUAGUUGCCAUCAGGUAAUGCUGAGCACUUUAAGGAAACUGCCAGUGAUAAGCUGGAGGAAGAUGGGGAUGAUGUCAAGUCAUCAUGGCCUUUAUGAAGUGGGCUACACACGUGCUACAAUGGUGUCUACAGUGGGCUGCAAGGUGCGCAAGCCUAGGCUAAUCCCUAAAAGACAUCUCAGUUCGGAUUGUACUCUGCAACUCGAGUGCAUGAAGUUGGAAUCGCUAGUAAUCGUGGAUCAGCAUGCCACGGUGAAUACGUUCUCGGGUCUUGUACACACUGCCCGUCACGCCAUGGGAAUUGGUUUCACUCGAAGCU
rnacentral:rRNA from 1 species